rnacentral:rRNA from 1 species
GACGAACGCUGGCGGCGUGCUUAACACAUGCAAGUCGAACGGUAAGGCCCUUCGGGGUACACGAGUGGCGAACGGGUGAGUAACACGUGGGUGAUCUGCCCUGCACUUCGGGAUAAGCCUGGGAAACUGGGUCUAAUACCGGAUAGGACCACUGCCUGCAUGGGUGGUGGUGGAAAGCUUUUGCGGUUUGGGAUGGGCCCGCGGCCUAUCAGCUUGUUGGUGGGGUGAUGGCAUACCAAGGCGACGACGGGUAGCCGGCCGGAGAGGGUGACCGGCCACACUGGGACUGAGAUACGGCCCAGACUCCUACGGGAGGCAGCAGUGGGGAAUAUUGCACAAUAGGCGCAAGCCUGAUGCAGCGACGCCGCGUGAGGGAUGACGGCCUUCGGGUUGUAAACCUCUUUCAGCACCGACGAAGCGCAAGUGACGGUAGGUGCAGAAGAAGGACCGGCCAACUACGUGCCAGCAGCCGCGGUAA